UACAGAGGGUGCGAGCGUUAAUCGGAAUUACUGGGCGUAAAGCGCGCGUAGGCGGCUUUGCAAGUCGGGUGUGAAAUCCCCAGGCUUAACCUGGGAACUGCAUUCGAGACUGCAUUGCUAGAGUAUGGGAGAGGGAAGUGGAAUUUCCGGUGUAGCGGUGAAAUGCGUAGAUAUCAGGAGGAACACCGAUGGCGAAGGCGGAUCUCUGGGCCUUGCCUGACGCUGAGGCGCGAAAGCUAGGGGAGCGAACAGGA
rnacentral:rRNA from 1 species